rnacentral:rRNA from 2 species
AACGACUCUCGGCAACGGAUAUCUCGGCUCUCGCAUCGAUGAAGAACGUAGCGAAAUGCGAUACUUGGUGUGAAUUGCAGAAUCCCGCGAACCAUCGAGUCUUUGAACGCAAGUUGCGCCCGAAGCCAUUUGGCCGAGGGCACGUCUGCCUGGGCGUCACGC